AGCGGCGUACGGGUGAGUAAUGCCUAGCCAUCUGCCUGGUCGUUGGGGUUAACGUCCGGAAACGGGCUCUAAUACCUCAUACUAUCAGAUGAGCCUAGGUCGGUUUAGCUAGUUGGUGGUGUAAAGGCCUACCAAGGCGACGAUCCGUAUCUGGUCUGAGAGGAUGAUCAGUCACACUGUAACUGAAAACCGGUCCAGAAGCCUACGGGAGGCAGCAGUGGGGAAGAUUGUACAAUGGGCGAAAGCCGGAUCCAGCAAUGCCGCGGGGGUGAAGAAGGUCUUCGGAUUGUAAGGCAAUUGAAGUUGGGAGGCGGUACCAACAGAAUAAGCACCGGCUAACUUCGUGCCAGCAGCCGCGGUAAUAC
rnacentral:rRNA from 1 species